UACGUAGGGUGCAAGCGUUGUCCGGAAUUAUUGGGCGUAAAGAGCUCGUAGGCGGUCUGUCGCGUCUGCUGUGAAAACUCAGGGCUUAACCCUGAGCUUGCAGUGGGUACGGGCAGACUAGAGUGCGGUAGGGGAGACUGGAAUUCCUGGUGUAGCGGUGAAAUGCGCAGAUAUCAGGAGGAACACCGGUGGCGAAGGCGGCAUCCUGGACCGGUAUUGACGCUGAUGCGCGAAAGCCAGGGGAGCAAACGGG
rnacentral:rRNA from 1 species